rnacentral:sRNA from 1 species
GCCUGGUGUGGUGGUGCAUGCCUGUAAUCCCAGAGACUCAGGAGGCUGAGGCAGGAGGAUCACAAGUUCAAAGCCAGCUUCAGCAACUUAGUAAGACUCUUGUCUCAA